rnacentral:lncRNA from 1 species
GGAAGAUUUGAGAGCUAUUUAGGAGGGAUGGAGUGGGGUGGGAAGAGAGAAAGAAAACAGGAUGUCCUAGUUAUUAAUGCUUUACAGGUGGGAUGAUGGGCAGAACAUGGAAAGAUGGUGUGAGAAGGGGAGAGUCCCACAGGCUGAUGGUGGCAUUCCUGCUCCUGCUCUGAGCUCACCCAGCCCUGUGGCACUCCAACUUCUACUAACUGGUGGGGUCACACUCCCAGUAUUUUCCAGAGAGAAGUACUGAGAAGCUUAAAGUAUUUGAAUGGGAGGAGGAGAAGCAAACUACAGCUACUUCAGAGGAUAACACUAAACACCUAGUCCACUCUGUAUACACUAGAGGUGCUGUUAAUUUUCUUGUGGAGAAGGAACUGUCUUUAGAAAAAUAUCUCAAAAAGCCACUGAAGUAGAAAGUUUCAGCAUGCUGAAGAUGGAACUUGAGAAGAUAGAAAGUUCUGGGUCCUUAGUGGCAUGACUGAGUCGCUGGACCACUGUUG